GGGGACGUAGCUCAGCUGGGAGAGCGCCUGCUUUGCAAGCAGGAGGUCAGGGGUUCGAAUCCCC
rnacentral:tRNA from 1 species